GAAAUGCGAUAAGUAAUGUGAAUUGCAGAAUUCAGUGAAUCAUCGAAUCUUUGAACGCACAUUGCGCCCGCCAGUAUUCUGGCGGGCAUGCCUGUCCGAGCGUCAUUUCAACCAUCAAGCCCCCGGGCUUGUGUUGGGGACCUGCGGCUGCCCGCAGGCCCUGAAAACCAGUGGCGGGCUCGCUGUCACACCGAGCGUAGUAGCAAUCACCUCGCUCAGGGCGUGCUGCGGGUUCCGGCCGUUAAACAGCCUUUUUUACCCAAGGUUGACCUCGGAUCAGGUAGGAAGACCCGCUGAACUUAAGC
rnacentral:misc_RNA from 1 species